ensembl:lncRNA
ACGUCCUUAUGUGCAGCUACCGUUGUUGUCAUAGAUAUGAAUGAGUAGAUAGGACACGCCCCUUUGAGCUGCGUGCUACAGCGAGGCUAAGCUAGUGGGGAAAAAGUUUCAGUGCAUUCCGUUGAUGUAGACGGCGUGAAAACGGAAACAAGAAGUAUGCCGGCUCACUGUGCUGCAUACAAUUACACACUACGUUGUACGAUUGAGACAAGGAAACUUGGAAUGACUUUUCAUAGGUAAGAAUAGUUUUUGGCCCUUUUUUCAUUAUGAAAUCUUGUUGAGAGCUUCCAGUCUAUGAGAGCUAACUAGUUAGCCACUAGCAAAACGCUAAGGCGAGCUAGCAGCUUGACAACCAAAUACUAGACGAUUAAUAGUAGCUGUAGUAUAGUUGUACAAGCAGUAGUAGUAAUACUAAAAGUACAAGCAGCAGUAGUAGUAUAAACAGCUGUUAGAGUCGUAGAAGUAGUAUCAGCAUUUGUAAUAAUAUUACAAGUUGUAGUAGCAGUGCCAGUAUCAGCAGCAGUAGUGUGUACUACUAUUAGUAGUCACAUUACUAUUACUACCACCAAUACUACCAAUAGUAGUUAUAAAGCCUAACUCAGAUAUAUCCAGAUUACCAUCUAUGUUCUUCCUCCAAACCCAUUUUAUGAUUGGGAUUACAGGCAGUUCUUUAGGACUGCUCUCAAAUAAUUGAAACGUUAUUAAACAAGGUUAUACUUAUCAAAUUAAAUAGCUCUGGUCUCCAGUAUAUUGGCGAAUUCAGUUCUUUGUACUUAAUUUAUUAGCAUGAUUCCUUUUUAAUAUGUUGUGUACAGACUUAUUUACUUGUCUGUCUACUUUUCUUACUCCAUGUAGGUUUCCCAGAGACUAUGGGGUUGAGGAGGAAUUGGAAGUUUGUCGGCUUAGACCUGGUGUCAUUCCAUCAGUGUUAAACUUCCCGGCUCAUCUUGGAAGAGUACGUGCCAGAAAGACCACAACCAAUCAGCCUUGAGAUCUUAGGCAGCGUCUCCCUGAGACCAAGGAACUACAGACUCUUCACAACCUGCUCAAACUCUUGGUACAGGACCUCACCACACGGGUCAAGAAGGUUUCCGUCUCAUUUCUACUCUGAAGAUCACCUUCUCCUGCUCAAACUGCUGACAAAUGUUUCUGCUGCUCUAAAGUCUGGUCUCCAGAACUUCCUAAAAACUCUCAAAGUCUCUUCUGCUGCAGGUUGCUUUGUAGAACUGUUCUAGAAAACCUCACUAAACCACAUGGAGGAGCCUCAAGAU